AUGCUGCGGUGUGUGUACACCCAGCGGCGGUGGGCGCACCGCCGGGGCGGCUUCGUCACCGGCGGCACUGGCUGGUCGCAGAAGGCCCGCCCAGCCGCCGUGAUGGGCGCGAAGAAGUCGGAGUGGUGGGCGGUGGACGGCGAGCUGCACGAGAUCGGGGAGGGCGUGCCGCACCGCGAGCGCUUCGCCAUCCCGCGCGACAACCUCCCGAACCGCCGCCGCAAGCAGAUGCGCGAGCAGUUCAUGCGCCGCACGCGUCUCGUCCUCAAGGACUCGGAACAUGAAACUUGGUGCAAAAAAUAUAUGGAACUGUACCAAGAGCUUAGAGAGAACUGGGAACGGUUGUACUGGGAUGAAGGUUAUUCAAAAAAGAUCGCAGAAGAUCGCGCUAAUUAUGACUCUGCUGAAGAAGAUGACCUAGACUUCUCACCAUACAGCAGGAGAAGGAGCUCCAGUGUAGAGCCAAACAAGGACCUUGGUUCUGGGGAAAGCAAACAGGGUGAGACAUGGGAAAGGGUUACUCAAAUUCGUGACAAGUUUGAGUAUGACAGAGAAAGGAGAAUGAGAGAGCGAGCGUUUGCACCCAUGAAUAUGGAGAACAAUUUUGGCCAGCAGAAUUGGAAAAGGCCAGAAACCAGAACGGGUCAGGUUUUUACUCGACAAACAUAG
rnacentral:rRNA from 1 species